ensembl:lncRNA
AUGAUGACUCCUGAAGUCAUCUUUUUUCUUUCAGAGUCUAGUUCAUUGUUGAUUGAUUGAUUGAAAUUAGAUUUUUUUUUUCAUGAAAAGAAAUAUUUACAUAAAAAAAUAAAGAAAAGAAAAAAAUAAGAGAGAGAGAGAGAGAGAGAGAGAGAGAGAGAGAAAUCUUAAAUUUUCAUUGGACCUUAAUGGUCAGAUGAUCUUGUCUGUAUUCAAAUAGUCAAACCCCUAUCUAACUAUAAAAAAAAAAGUCUGAAGACACUCCCACUUGUUUUCAAAAACCUCUCAGAUUCUUUCAUGAUCUUUCAUUAAAAAUAUUUUGCUCUGCCUUGGAAAUUACUUUUCCUUGAGUGACGUCACCCUCUUAUUUUUGAACCCCUCCCCUCCAAGCACCUGACAACUUUCCAGUCAACAUUCCAGUCAACUUUCCUCCCUGUAUUUUGCAUCAGAUUACGGAAGCAAGUUUCUGGACUUGAACUUUAAGAUGGUCACAAUAAUCCAUCACCCACACGGACCGAUUAACCAACCCAACAUCCCAACAUCUAAUCUUCUUUGUUAGAACCCAGAGCCGUCGCCUGCUUUCUGCUCUGCUUGUCUAGCGUUUCAGCACAGAUUCAGACAGAAGAAGGUGAAAUCUCUCAGCAGACACACACUGAGUGUAUUCUCCAGUCAAUGUCACGCUUCAACAGUCUCCAGUCAACAGAAUCCAGCUCAAAUCCAGCACAGGUGAACCGACCGGCCGUCCACACGCUCCUGACACCAUCACACUUCUACAGUUACUGACAGACUAUAUGAGCAGCUUUUCCUUCAGAGUAGAGUGAGCGCUAGAAUUAAAAAUACUGCAUACACUUAAUGUUUUCUUAUAGACAGGUGGAUUUCUGGUAAGAGUUGUGUCACUUCCUUCUCCUGUUUUGAAUUCAUGAGCUGUUGUGUGCAGCUCACUGGAUCUUCCUCAGGACUGAAAACCUGGUGUUUUCUUCAGAUUUUUGAAUUUCAUUUCCAUGCUUUAUGAUCGCUUCAGACACAGGAGGACAGUCUCUAAAAGCUGGACCAGUUCUUGGGUGAAAUGCAGACUGAUUUGAAGGCAGUAAAAGAUAAGCACUUAUGAUUUUUAUAUCAUCCAGUGAUAAUAAAAAAUACACACUUGUAGGUAGUAUUACA